AGUGAACGCUGGCGGUAGGCCUAACACAUGCAAGUCGAACGGCAGCACAGUAAGAGCUUGCUCUUACGGGUGGCGAGUGGCGGACGGGUGAGGAAUACAUCGGAAUCUACUUUUUCGUGGGGGAUAACGUAGGGAAACUUACGCUAAUACCGCAUACGACCUACGGGUGAAAGCAGGGGAUCUUUGGACCUUGCGCGAUUGAAUGAGCCGAUGUCGGAUUAGCUAGUUGGCGGGGUAAAGGCCCACCAAGGCGACGAUCCGUAGCUGGUCUGAGAGGAUGAUCAGCCACACUGGAACUGAGACACGGUCCAGACUCCUACGGGAGGCAGCAGUGGGGAAUAUUGGACAAUGGGCGCAAGCCUGACCCAGCCAUACCGCGUGGGUGAAGAAGGCCUUCGGGUUGUAAAGCCCUUUUGUUGGGAAAGAAAAGCAGCAGGUUAAUACCCCGCUGUUCUGACGGUACCCAAAGAAUAAGCACCGGCUAACUUCGUG
rnacentral:rRNA from 1 species